GUGGGGAAUCUUAGACAAUGGGGGAAACCCUGAUCUAGCCAUGCCGCGUGAGCGAUGAAGGCCUUAGGGUUGUAAAGCUCUUUCAGCUGGGAAGAUAAUGACGGUACCAGCAGAAGAAGCCCCGGCUAACUCCGUGCCAGCAGCCGCGGUAAUACGGAGGGGGCUAGCGUUGUUCGGAAUUACUGGGCGUAAAGCGCGCGUAGGCGGACCAGAAAGUUGGAGGUGAAAUCCCAGGGCUCAACCUUGGAACUGCCUUCAAAACUCCUGGUCUGGAGUUCGAGAGAGGUGAGUAGAAUUCCGAGUGUAGAGGUGAUAUUCGUAGAUAUUCGGAGGAACACCAGUGGCGAAGGCGGCUCACUGGCUCGAUACUGACGCUGCGGUGCGAAAGCGUGGGGAGCAAACAGGAUUAGAUACCCGUGUAGUCC
rnacentral:rRNA from 1 species